rnacentral:rRNA from 1 species
ACUGCUCAGUAACACGUGGCUAACCUACCCUCAGGACCGGGACAACUUCGGGAAACUGAGGCUAAACCCGGAUAGAUGGAGAGGCCUGGAACGGUUCUCCGUCGAAAAGGCGCUAGGGCUAUGCUUCCUAGUGUCGCCCGAGGAUGGGGCCGCGACCGAUCAGGUCGUUGGUGAGGUAACGGCUCACCAAGCCUAUAACCGGUACGGGCCGUGAGAGCGGGAGCCCGGAGAUGGGCACUGAGACAAGGGCCCAGGCCCUACGGGGCGCAGCAGGCGCGAAACCUCUGCAAUGCGCGAAAGCGUGACAGGGUCAUCCCGAGUGCCAUCCGCUGAGGAAGGCUUUUACCCGGUCUAACUCGCCGGGAGAAUAAGGGGAGGGCAAGUCUGGUGUCAGCCGCCGCGGUAAUACCAGCUCCUCGAGUGGUUGGGACGAUUAUUGGGCCUAAAGCGUCCGUAGCCGGCUGGAAAAGUUCUCCGUAAAAUCCAACGAUCCAAUCGUUGGCUCGCGGGGAAUACUUUCCGGCUUGGGGGCGGGGGAGGUCGGCGGUAGUCCCGGGGUAGGGGCGAAAAACGUCGAAAGACGAUUCGCAUUCUUAUAAUCCCGGGAGGACCACCAGUGGCGAAGGCGGCCGACUAAAACGCGCCCGACGGUGAGGGACGAAAGCUGGGGGAGCGAACGGGAUUAGAUACCCCGGUAGUCCCAGCUGUAAACGAUGCAGGCUAGGUGUUAGGACGGGUACGGCCCGUUCUAGUGCCGCAGGGAAGCCAUUAAGCCUGCCGCCUGGGGAGUACGGCCGCAAGGCUGAAUUCUCGUCCAGACAGAAACCGCGUUUGGGGGGACGGUCACUUAAAGGAAUUGGCGGGGGAGCACCACAGGGGGUGAAGCUUGGCGGUUAAUUGGAUUCAACGCCGGAAAUCC